rnacentral:lncRNA from 1 species
CCCAUGGCAACACAGGCUUCAUCUUUAUAGGAUCAUGUGCUAUAACCUCUUGGUGCUUCCUUUCAGGGACUCCAACCUUGCCAUGCGUUGUCUGGCUUUUGGAGUUUUCUAAACUUUGGUGCAAGCCUCCACGGCCCCUGCAUGAGUGCAGAGCUAGCACCAUGCUACCAAAUUCUGCUGUCAACUCAAAAUGAGUCUGGUUCCCUUGGACCAGCGCCAUCAUGGCGUCUCUGCACCUUUGUGCACGACUACAGCCAAGGACAGUCAUCUUCAAGUGCUGCUUGGGUUUGAGCCUUAGGUUUUGCGCAUCCUAAAAAAGCACUCUAUCAACGGCGUACAUCCUGAGCUUUUUGUCUUAAUUUACAUUUUGUUAUUAUUUGCAUAAUAGACAGGAUCUCUAUUACAUAGCUCUGGCAGUUCUGGAAUUCCAGGCUGGCCUUGAACUCAGAGAUUCUUUUGCAUCUGCCUUCCAAGUGGUGGGAUUAAAGGCAUUUGCUACCUUGCCCAGCUAAAAUUAUUUAUUUUUGUAAUUUUUAAUUAUGUAUGCAUGUAUGUAUGUGACUCCCUCUGGAUCUGAGCUGGCAGGCAACUGUAGCCACCUGACAUGAGGGCUGGGAAUUGAACUCCUGUCCUCUGAAAGAGAAUAGUCCGUAUUCUUUUUGUUUUUUUGUUUUUUUGUUUUUUAACAUUUAUUUAUUUUAUGUGAAGAGGGCAUGGGAUCCAAUUAUAGACGGUUAUAAGUCACCAUGUAGUUGCUGGGAAUUGAACUCAUGACCUCUGGAAGAGCAACUAGUGCUCUUAACCACUGAGUUAUCUCUCCAGCCCCAGUCUGUAUUCUUAACCCCUGAGCCAUCUCUACAGACCUUUCUCUUUUUUUUUUUGGUUAGAUGGGGUUUCACUCUCUACCUAACCCAAGCUGGCUUUGAACUCUGUGCAUCCCAGGAUGGCCUUAAAGUCAC